rnacentral:rRNA from 1 species
AUUGAACGCUGGCGGCAGGCCUAACACAUGCAAGUCGAGCGGAUGAAGGGAGCUUGCUCCUGGAUUCAGCGGCGGACGGGUGAGUAAUGCCUAGGAAUCUGCCUGGUAGUGGGGGAUAACGUCCGGAAACGGGCGCUAAUACCGCAUACGUCCUGAGGGAGAAAGUGGGGGAUCUUCGGACCUCACGCUAUCAGAUGAGCCUAGGUCGGAUUAGCUAGUUGGGGGGGUAAAGGCCUACCAAGGGGACGAUCCGUAACUGGUCUGAGAGGAUGAUCAGUCAAACUGGAACUGGAAAACGGGCCGAACCCCUAAGGGAGGCAGCAGUGGGGAAUAUUGGACAAUGGGCGAAAGCCUGAUCCAGCCAUGCCGCGUGUGUGAAGAAGGUCUUCGGAUGGUAAAGCACUUUAAGUGGGGAGGAAGGGCAGUAAGUUAAUACCUUGCUGUUUUGACGUUACCAACAGAAUAAGCACCGGCUAACUUCGUG